GGUUACCUUGGCGAAGACCUAGCUGAGAAUGCGGUGAAGGGGGAAACAGCGUCCCCUCGGGCGGGUGGCGUCUGCGGGGGGGUGGAAACAUGAGCUCUCCUGAUGAGGUGUCGGUUCGGGGAAGCGGGUUUGGGCCCGAAAGCGGGGAGCACUCGGAAGGACGCCGCCGCUUUAGCCAUGGGUCCCCGAGGAGACACGGCCUGGGCCCUGACGAGAGGUCGUUGCGGAGCAGUGAGGACAAGACGUGCCUCCCGGUCUCCAAGACGUUCCAGUACGACUCCUGGUUAGACAGGGAUGAGAUGGAGGGAAGGUCCGUCGUCUGGGGCUGCGAAGGUCGCCCCGGCACUCCCGUGGAUGAGAGGGGGGACAGUUUGGACUUUGUACCCCAGCUGACGAUAGAGGGUACAAGCUUCGGGCAGCAUGUAGCCAACCGGGAGGCCUGGGGUGUCCGCAGACAUCCGUCCCCCAAAAGCGGCCCUGCUGAGCCCCUGGGCAUUUGGGGAGACUCGGACGCAGGCACGAGCCGGAGGGGCAUGCGGCCCCCCACCUCCGUGGAAGGGAAGCAGGUGUCAGCUAGCCAACAGCACCCCAGGGGUCUGGGGCGGGGCCGGGCCUGGGUGACCCCAAGAAGAGGAGCCACAAGUAGGAUAAUAGCCAGUGAGGAUUUUCAAUUUCUGUCUUCCGACCCCGAGUCUUCUGACGAAUUCAGUGAGACGGAAUUGAUGAGGGUGACCAUUUGCCUCAAAGAAGGAGGCCAGGCCAAGUCCACUGGCCUCACUGAGCUGGAAGACACAGGCAGACGCACGAAUGUCCGUGGCAGGGGAAGCUUCGUCCAUAUGCCCCCCUCUCUGCUGGUCACUACUCCGAGAGGACUCAGCUCAGGCGGGGAGAAGCAGGCUUUGGGCGAGCUGGAGGGCUCUCUGUCUAAGAAAAAGCCAAGUGGGGUCUGGGGAAAAGAAGGGAGCAGACCCAGCUACCCAGGAGCUGCCGUUGCCAGCUCUGCUGCUGCCCCUGCCCCUGUUGCUAGUGCUUCAGGUGCCUCCCCGACCAAGACCAGUCCUAGAAAGAAGGGAGCGGCCAAGGAGAAGCCGACUCAGUGGGAUGCCUCAAGAGGAUCCCUGGGAAGAACCUUCCCACCAUGGGGACAGAGACUUAAGUCAGCUCCUGUAGAACCAGCUACUUUCCCCCCCAUCUCCGGGGUUGCCCUGCUUGGGAAGGCCAGUAAAUGCUCACUGCCUUCGGGACCCAAAGAGUGCAAGCCUUUCUGCACUGGGAAGAGAUCCAUGGCAAGGAAGACAAAGGAAUCCCAGCCAGGGGCCAAAGAAGAUAAUGACCCAACCAGAGAUCCUGGCCUGCAGGCCCAACUUCCAACACACAGGGCAGAGCAGCCUUGCACGUGCACGCAUCGUGGAGAAAUGAGCAGUGGAGACCCCAACACCAGAGCACCCCAAGUUGCAGGGAACUCUCAGUUCUUGUCCUUGAGCCAGAGAAGUGCCAGACCCAGAGCACCUGCACCGGCUGGUGACCAGGAUAUACUUGUGUGUCCUUUAUUACCUGCUGAAGAGGGUGAACCAGUAUUACAAGGCACACCAGGCUGUCCUCAGUGUCUGAUGCUACGGAAGGAAAUAGAGGAACUCAAGGAACAACUAGGUAUGACCGAGCCAGGGCAGGGGAUCGAUGGGAACAGGGCCAGAGGGAGAGCCUAGUGUUUGUGUGCAGGUGACUGGGGUGGGCUGAGGGGCGGUUCUCAGUGGGAAGGGACCUCAAGCAGGCCAGGCUGGGAGCCCUCUGUGCAUUGAGUGCGGGGACUUGCACCAAGAAGCAAUGCUGUCCCGUGCGCUGUGCAGAUGAGUCCCCCAGGUUCCCCUCUCUCUGGGCAUUGACACGGUCAGUCCUCCUUUAGUUUCCCUUGGAGUGCCGGCAGUUGCGAAUUGUGAGGUGUUUGUUGUCAAGUGUUUGUUCGUUUUACAAGUAGGGCUUGCACUGCUGUGGUCCAGCGUUUGAGGACUGCCUGUCCGUGCUGUUCUCCUGUAGAAACGUUUGCACAUAGAGCUCGGGGAUGGGGGGAGGAGUCUGUCCCGAGGCUCCUUGCACAGGGGCUGGAGGGCAGUGGGCGGCUGGCCUGGAGUUCUGUGGCACAGAGAAUAGGGCUCCGGCCGGUGGGGUCCUGGAUGUCUGUGUCUGGAGACCCAUUGGUACCUCUUGUGUUUCAGCCAUCAUGCAGGCCCUCAACGAAAAGUUCCAGGAUCUUUGAAAUGAUGCUCUGCUGCCCACAGGCCCUUUGAAGUUGGACCCGGCAUCCCUGCAGAAGAGGCCAGGCUACUCCCCAUGGAUCCUGCUCCCUUCCCGGCACUCUACAGCA